rnacentral:lncRNA from 1 species
AUAUAUAUAUAUAUAUAAUUCUGUACUUUCCUUAUAGAUAGCAAAAGCAGACAAUCCAUAAUUGACUAGAGAAAACACGAAGAUGGCUAGCAGAAGGGUCGUUAUUUAAAUAUGGAAGUUCUGUUUGAUUACGACAUCAGAUUAUUAUUUGCUGGUAGAUCCGAUAUUCUCUCUUUCUCUCUCUCUCUUCAGCAGCUCUUAACGUUGUCUGGAAGUAAUAAGAAAAAGGAGAAGGAAAAAAAAAAUAGAGAUAGAGAGAAAUCUUCGCCUGUGUUUCAGAUUUUUCAAAAAGUUUCCAUCAGAACUUUCGAUCGUCACUAAACAUCCUCAGGUUCUGUCAUCCUUAUACAUCCGUCUAAGUAAUAAGCCAUCCGUUCUUAAAUAUUCCGUUUAUGGCUUCUGGGCUCUCCUCACUAUUCUUUACUAGAUCUUGUGUUUUUAGUGCUUUCUCGCCCGAUCGACCGUGCUAACUCUACGUUCUUAUCUUCUGCAUAGUUUGUGAACUUUAUCCUUUUCACGUUUAACAGAUGGCCUGAUAUCUUCCAUCGAUUGCACGCAGCUGGAAAAAUACGCCAUCCUACCUCUUCGCAAAACAGCCGGGUAUUGUUCGACGUCCGAAAAACCCCGUUUUUAAAACGUCCAGUAUCAACAAACUUCCAUCCUAAAUAGAUUUAUCUAGACGAGAUAUAACGCCAUAACACCUACUGUAAUGAUAAUGUUGCACGAUAUAUAUAUAUAUCGUGCUCCCGUAGAUGAAUAGCGUAACAAAGAAGAAAGCCCCCUUCUGUAGGUGUGACAAUAGCCACGGCGCGUUAUAACGAGUUAUUAUUAGUGAAGUCGCUCGAUCGUCGUCGCUUCUAGUAAACAACAAACUUGCCUCAGGACUUUUAAAUUUCGACGUUAACCGUCGUUGGACGGAUCGUCAAUUAUGUAACGAGACAAAACUUACUACAAUCCCAUAACAGUUGUGUUUCACUUGACCGAAUUCUAUUUGCCAAGCGUGAACGAAUUCCAAGCACGUCCUCUGAUGUCUUGUGGUAACAGCGACCAACUUCGGAAUGCAAAAACAGUUUACUACUUUUUUUCUUUCUUCUUCUUGUUUUUUUCUUUCUUUUUAACUUCAAAAAUUCUUUCUUUCGGUUCGAAUCACACUUUUUACGUUUCUAGAGUGCAAAAGUUUUGUACUGCACCUUUAAUAAUAAUA